AUUGAACGCUGGCGGCAUGCCUUACACAUGCAAGUCGAACGGCAGCACGGGGACUUGCUGCUGGUGGCGAGUGGCGAACGGGUGCGUAAUACGUCGGUACCGGUCCCUUAUUGGUGGUGGGCCCGGAGGAAGCCGGAUUAAUACCACAAACGAAUUACGUCUGCAGGCGGGGGCCCUUGAGCCCUCGGGCUUUCGGGUCGGCCGAUGGCUGAUUAGCUAGUUGGUGGGGUAAAGGCCUACCAAGGCGACGAUCAGUAGCUGGUCUGAGAGGACGAUCAGCCACACUGGAACUGAGACACGGCCCAGACUCCUACGGGAGGCAGCAGUGGGGAAUGUUGGACAAUGGGCGAAAGCCUGAUCCAGCAAUGCCGCGUGUGUGAAGAAGGCCUUCGGGUUGUAAAGCACGUUUGUCGGGAAAGAAAAGCUUGGGCCUAAUACGGUCCGGGGAUGACGGUACCGGAAGAAUAAGCACCGGCUAACUACGUG
rnacentral:rRNA from 1 species